CCUACGGGAGGCAGCAGUGAGGAAUAUUGGUCAAUGGGCGAGAGCCUGAACCAGCCAAGUAGCGUGAAGGAUGACUGCCCUAUGGGUUGUAAACUUCUUUUAUCAGAGAAUAAAAUCAGGCACGUGUGCCUUUUUGUGUGUACCCUAUGAAUAAGCAUCGGCUAACUCCGUGCCAGCAGCCGCGGUAAUACGGAGGAUCCGAGCGUUAUCCGGAUUUAUUGGGUUUAAAGGGUGCGUAGGGGGUUCGUUAAGUCAGUGGUAAAAUUUUGGGGCUCAACCGCGUAGUGCCGUUGAAACUGGCAGUCUUGAGUACAGGAGAGGUAGGCGGAAUUCGCGGUGUAGCGGUGAAAUGCUUAGAUAUCACGAAGAACUCCGAUUGCGAAGGCAGCUUACUGGAGUGAAACUGACACUGAGGCACGAAAGUGUGGGGAUCAAACAGGAUUAGAUACCCCUGUAGUC
rnacentral:rRNA from 1 species